rnacentral:tRNA from 2 species
AAGAUUUUAAGUUAAUUAAACUAGUAACCUUCAAAGUUACUUAUACUUUUUUAGUAAAUCUUA